rnacentral:rRNA from 1 species
UGCGUAGGCGGGGCAAUAAGUCAGUGGUGAAAUCCUGCGGCUUAACCGUAGAAUUGCCAUUGAUACUGUUGCCCUUGAGUAUAGUUGAAGUGGGCGGAAUAUGUAAUGUAGCGGUGAAAUGCAUAGAUAUUACAUAGAACACCAAUUGUGAAGGCAGCUCACUAAGCUAUCACUGACGCUGAGGCACGAAAGCGUGGGGAGCGAACAGGAUUAGAUACCCUGGUAGUCC